rnacentral:rRNA from 1 species
CACGUAGGGGGCGAGCGUUGUCCGGAUUUAUUGGGCGUAAAGAGCUCGUAGGCGGCUCGGUAAGUCAGGUGUGAAAACUCUAGGCUCAACCUGGAGAGGUCACUCGAUACUGCUGUGACUAGAGUCCGGUAGGGGAGCAUGGAAUUCCCGGUGUAGCGGUGAAAUGCGCAGAUAUCGGGAGGAACACCAGUGGCGAAGGCGGCAUCCUGGACCAAUAUUGACGCUGAGGAGCGAAAGCCAGGGGAGCAAACGGG